CACAGUUGCCUGCCCUGGGCGGGGGCGAGCGCGUCCGGUUUGCUGGAAGCGUUCGGAAAUGGCAACUUGCGCGGUGGAGGUGUUCGGGCUCCUGGAGGACGAG
rnacentral:sRNA from 2 species